AGAAAAAGAGACAAAGAAAGAUACAUAGUGUAACACUGUAUCAAAAUUUAUUGCCCAGGAUACAAAAGAAAGGGUAACCCCCCCAAACUAAAAACUCUUACACUGUAUAAAAUAUGAUACUCAUCAUUGUCGAUCAUGCAGGAAAAAAAAUUCUUUCAAAUCUGCUCGUAAUGUAGAGUCAAAGCUGGCGAUCCGGUUCCUCACGGGAGACGGCAGCUGCCUGGUGCACACAGGAACGCUGGCCGUGUUGGUAUCAGUGGGGAAACACUAGCGAUUAGUCCAGCUUCUAUCGAAAGCUCAGGUGGUCUGCUGCAGAUGAGUAGUAGUGGCACCCUAUCUAUAUUUAAAUUCUACAUGCAUAUUUAUGUAAUAUUUUUACAUAAUUUUAUUGAUUGCAAUUUGAGGGACCUGUCUGACAACCCAGGCCAAAAGUCCAAACCAUUUAAUUUGCAAGCACUGUAUUUAACUCUGUAACUUUCCAUGAUACCCUAAAACCUGUACAUGGGGGGUACUGUUUUACUCGGGAGACUUCGCUGAACACAAAUAUUAGUGUUUCAAAACAGUAAAACAUAUCAUAGUGAUGAUAUUGUCCGUGAAAGUGACGUAUUUUGCAUUUUUCACACACAAACGGCACUUUCACUGAUGAUAUAAUUGUUGUUAUACGUCUUACUGUUUUUUUUUUUUAUAAUUCUUUAUUUUUGCGUGCACGGAUACAAAGAACAGGCAUUCGCAAACAGACAUCCCCCAAUACCCCACAUUGUGAACAAAGGUUACAAUGGGCAUGCGGAAUACAUAACAUAUAGUGCACCUUUUUCUUCUCCCAGUACAUCGUUUUGUAUCGAAGUGUUUAAGUAACCAGAAGGGCCCGAUCCAUCAUCGGGUUUCAGGACUCUUGGUCAGCUUUUGGAUAGAGGACUCUUAACAAAUUAAAAUUGGCUUAGGGGGUCCGUCUGUGUAGGCCAGCCCCACCCGUUCCCUCUCAUGUUGUUCACUAGUCAUGUGACCUCGUUCCUUCUAACAUACCCUUUUAAUUAUUGAACAGGUACCUAAUGUGUCUCCGGGUAGAGCUGGUGUUGCCCAAAGGCCCAAUCCUAAUAUUCUUCGUAAUAUAUUGAUCCCAAUAAAUGGUGAUUCCCUAGGAUCCCCUAUGCAUCUCCCUGUGGUUACGUUUUCCUGUUUUUAACCCCUUAAGGACCAAACUUCUGGAAUAAAAGGGAAUCAUGACAUAUCACACGUCAUGUGUCCUUAAGGGGUUAAACACUAAUAUUUGUGUUCAACAAAGUCUCCCGAGUAUUUUAGUACCCCCCAUGUACAGGUUUUAUAGUGUUUUUGAAAGUUAAAGGGUCAAACAUAAGGCUUGAUUUUCCAUUUUUUUACAUUGAAAGUUGCCAGAAUGGUUAUGUUGCGUUUGAGAGCAUAUGGUAGCCCAGGAAUGAGAAUUACUACCGUGAUGGCAUACCAUUUGCAAAAUAAGACAACCCAUGGUUUUGCAAAUGAGGUAUGUUCAGUCAUUUUUUUUUUUUAUAAAUUCUUUAUGGUUUGUUUUUGUUUUUUUUCCAGUUUUGUUCAACAGUGUAGGAAGUUACAGAAGGCAAAGUAAAGAGGUUAAUAGGAUAGGCAGUAUUACAAUACAUGUUAACGGUGGUGUGGUACAUCUUAACAUGAGAACAUUAUUUCAAUAUUUCAUUUUCAUGUAACGUGUUUCAGAGGUUCCCUUUCACUUUCUAGUUGUAAUAUAAUUUUUUUAGUUUUCCUUCGACAGUAGGAGUUGUUAACAUUAGUGGUUGUGGGAGUUCUGACAAACUCCCCUCUCCAAGUGAGUUUGCCACGAGCUCCUGGGGGAGCCUGCUUGCCAGCCUCCUGCCCACAGACUAUGGGCCCUGCAGGGAAACCUUUUAAAGACUACCAAACUUGACCAACUGGAAAUGAUUUGGGCAUGGGGCCAUGCUUGCGGUCAGUCAAAACUAUGACUUCCAGGAAAUUCCUGAACCCCUGAACAGAUCUGGGUGAUUUUUGGAUAUGUUGUUCACCCAGAUCGGGGCUAUCAGGGGAUGUGACGGGGAUAUGGGAUAUGUUGUGUUUUGGGGUACUUAUGGGAUUUUAUAAAAAUGUGUGCCUUUUCUGCCUGUGGAUAAUUAGGUUAUUGUAUUAUCUAUCUUAAUUGUCUCACAGGCAAUGUACAACACUGUUUUUAUUGGCUUGUUGAUUUUAUGUCCUGUCCUGUGUGAAACUUGUAUAAUAGACAAUGUGCCUCCAUUAACCCCUUAAGGACUGGACUGUUUUUGCGAUGUUGUACAUUUGUGACCAGGCAUAUUUUUACACUUUUGUGGUGUUUGUGUUUGGCUGUAAUUUUCCGCUUUCUCAUUUACUGUUCCCAUACAAAUUAUAUAUUGUUUUUUUCAGGACAAAAGGGGCUUUCUUUACA
rnacentral:lncRNA from 1 species